UACGGGGGGGGCUAGCGUUGACCGGAAUUACUGGGCGUAAAGCGCACGUAGGCGGACUGGAAAGUCAGGGGUGAAAUCCCGGGGCUCAACCCCGGAACUGCCUUUGAAACUCCCGGUCUUGAGGUCGAGAGAGGUGAGUGGAAUUCCGAGUGUAGAGGUGAAAUUCGUAGAUAUUCGGAGGAACACCAGUGGCGAAGGCGGCUCACUGGCUCGAUACUGACGCUGAGGUGCGAAAGCGUGGGGAGCAAACAGG
rnacentral:rRNA from 1 species